GAGCUACUCCCUCCGUUCGGAAUUACUUGUCUUGGAAAUGGAUGUAUCUAGAACUAAAAUACGUCUAGAUACAUCCAUUUUCGCGACAAGUAAUUCCGAAUGGAGGGAGUACUUA
rnacentral:pre_miRNA from 1 species